GUGUCAGCCGCCGCGGUAAUACGUAGGGGGCAAGCGUUGUCCGGAAUCAUUGGGCGUAAAGCGCGUGUAGGCGGCUUGGUAAGUCCGGUGUGAAAACUUGGGGCUCAACCCCAAGCGUGCACCGGAUACUGCCUCGCUCGAGUCCGGGAGAGGGAAGCGGAACUCCUAGUGUAGCGGUGAAAUGCGCAGAUAUUAGGAAGAACACCGGUGGCGAAGGCGGCUUCCUGGAACGGUACUGACGCUGAGACGCGAAAGCGUGGGGAGCAAACAGGAUUAGAAACCCCCGUAGUCC
rnacentral:rRNA from 1 species